CCUACGGGUGGCAGCAGUCGAGAAUCAUUCACAAUGGGGGAAAGCCUGAUGGUGCGACGCCGCGUGGGGGAAUGAAGGUCUUCGGAUUGUAAACCCCUGUCAUGUGGGAGCAAAUUAAUAAGAUAGUACCACAAGAGGAAGCGACGGCUAACUAUGUGCCAGCAGCCGCGGUAAUACAGAGGUUUCAGGCGUUGUUCGGAAUCACUGGGCGUAAGGGGUGCGUAGGCUGUUUCGGAGGUCGUGUGUGAAAGGCGCGGGCUUAACCCGCGGCCGGCACAUGUUACUGCGAGACUAGAGUAAUGGAGGGGGAACCGGAAUUCUCGGUGUAGCAGUGAAAUGCGUAGAUAUCGGGAGGAACACUCGUGGCGAAGGCGGGUUCCUGGACAGUAACUGACGCUGAGGCACGAAGGCCAGGGGAGCGAAAGGGAUUAGAUACCCUUGUAGUC
rnacentral:rRNA from 1 species